AAAUGUCACCAGACAACAAUGUUAGUGUCAUGUGCAAUGUAUCAUUAAUCACAUAUAGAUGUUUAAUUUUCAUUGUCAUUACAGACUGAAAAGGAGGGGGGUCUUUGAGAACAGCUUUUUCUUUAAGGUCAAAUCAUUUUUACCGGUCAUCCUAAGAACUGAAUUAGCUGUCUUUCCACAAUAAGGAGCAUGUCCGAACAACCUCUGUUUCAUUAUAUGCAAUACCUCUAUGUCAUAAGCCUGUAAUGGCUAAUGUCAUUGUUAUUAUCACCGCCAGUGACUGCGUUACCGCUAUUGACCACUGAAUGGCGCAGGUCCCGCUGUGAGGUCUGUUGAGUGAAGUGGAACGGCAGUGUCUGUCAAACACCGCAGUCUCCUGACCUGCUGCUGGAAACUGUCUCUCUUUGACUCUCGCUCUCUGAGCCCGCGAUUCACUGACUGCCUGAACGCCUUUAAUCUACUCUUCUCCAUCAUCACUCAGUUCCAGCCCCGGAGCACUGAGCACAGGGCAGUGUGUGAGUGGCAGAUGAAGUGGGCAGCCUCAGGUCCUCCCGACAUACACAGGAUCACCAGCUCGUCCCUGGCCGUCACCUAGAGUCACACACAUACUUAGAGACACACCCAAACACACACAAUCACACUCCCACUCAGACACACACCACAUACACUCAGACUUAGUCACACAGAUACUUUCAGACGCGGGGACACACGUACGCAUUCACACAAACACUCAGUGACACUUGGAGGCACCAUGGCGAAGGGAGAAAACAUAUCCCAUACCCCAGCCGGAAUGCCCCUCAAGCCCCCAGAGCCAUCCUUCACCAAGCCCCUCCACCAGGUAAGGAACACUGCUUUUAUUCACUAAUUUGAAUCAUUUGGCUAGUUUACCCCUGGACUGUCUGACAGCUCAAUGACAUUCAUGUUCCUUUGUUUUGUGGGUAUCUGUCUUGCUGUUCUGCCGUGUCUGGAUAUCAGCAGUUCUUGACUUUGACUGAAAUAGGUGCCGGUACUCAUUUAGAGUGAGGGUACUGUUUAUAUUUAGGUGCAGGAACACCACAAUACUUUUGAGCUAAUAUUCUAUAAGAAGUGCAGGAACUCAAGAAGUAGAAAUGUUGAGCUGCCAGUACUCAAUUCCGGUGAGCUCCUGCCCAAGUCAAGCACUGGAUAUCUGAGAGACUGAGGGCAAGGAGUUAGUUCAGUUGAAAAUCAGUCUGAUUGUGAUUAUACUACAUUU
rnacentral:lncRNA from 13 species